UUAACUAACCCUCCGGCCUAUAAUAAGUUAAAUUCGGAGAGCUAGAGCUGAAAUACACAGAGCUGGCAGGGUGUCUCAAGUUGAGGGACUCACUGUACCAUGGGUUCUGAGAACAAAUUUACCGCCUGUCAGUAUGGAGAGCCUGGCGCGGACAGGUAGGCGUCAGGCUAACGAGGCAGGCAGGCAGACUCACAGGUGCAGCAAACCAUCCGUCGCUCGUUGAUUUCAUACAUGGAUGAAAACUGGCAGGGGGCGGAGGAGUGGUGUUUGGGUAAUGCAAUCUUCACGCCUGCAAAUCCUCUGUUAAUUCAAGUAAUCUGUCCAAAGCCAAUGCAGCACAGGUAUGGCCAUGGGCGUCAUUAGGUCUGAUCUUAGCCCCGAUGCCAAUCUUCCUUCAAAAAGGAAGAAAGUCAAGCCCCAGCUGGAGAGUGGCGCCCCUCAUCACCUAUGGAGUGAACUGCAACCAUUAACAGCAUCAACUCCACCUACCCCUGUGUUAGUCCAAAGGUCUUUGGAGUCACUGUUGGGCCCGUGAACAGGCUCUUAACCACCGGGGCCUGUGUGACCCCAUCUUCUCGAUGGCAUGUUGCUUUGGAUGAAAGCAUCUGCUAAAUGAAUAAAUGUAAAUGUGAGAUUUAUGGUCAAGGUAUAUCCUCUGAAGAUUAAAGGCUCUAAUUUUGGG